rnacentral:lncRNA from 1 species
GCAGGUUCACCGCCGCCGCUCCGUCGCCGGCGACGAGCCACCGCGGCUGCCGCCUCCCUCUGAUUUCGACUCACACACACAGUAGGUUCAAGCCACAAUUUAGUUCACAAAAUAGCAUAGGAUUUUGAGCAGAAAUCAAAUACUGUAAAUGCUUAUUGAAAUCUGAAAUUCUUUUCUUGAAACUGAACUAGUCUAUAAAUUUCAGUUCAUAUGUGCAUAUGUAAACAUGUUGUGAAAUAUCUGAACAGCCGUAUGAAUUGGUAUGAAUUGGUGGUUCCCUGAGGGUGAUGAUACCUUGAGUAGGUGGAUA